rnacentral:rRNA from 2 species
GCUGGCGGCGUGCCUAAUACAUGCAAGUCGAACGAACUCUGGUAUUGAUUGGUGCUUGCAUCAUGAUUUACAUUUGAGUGAGUGGCGAACUGGUGAGUAACACGUGGGAAACCUGCCCAGAAGCGGGGGAUAACACCUGGAAACAGAUGCUAAUACCGCAUAACAACUUGGACCGCAUGGUCCGAGUUUGAAAGAUGGCUUCGGCUAUCACUUUUGGAUGGUCCCGCGGCGUAUUAGCUAGAUGGUGGGGUAACGGCUCACCAUGGCAAUGAUACGUAGCCGACCUGAGAGGGUAAUCGGCCACAUUGGGACUGAGACACGGCCCAAACUCCUACGGGAGGCAGCAGUAGGGAAUCUUCCACAAUGGACGAAAGUCUGAUGGAGCAACGCCGCGUGAGUGAAGAAGGGUUUCGGCUCGUAAAACUCUGUUGUUAAAGAAGAACAUAUCUGAGAGUAACUGUUCAGGUAUUGACGGUAUUUAACCAGAAAGCCACGGCUAACUACGUGCCAGCAGCCGCGGUAAUACGUAGGUGGCAAGCGUUGUCCGGAUUUAUUGGGCGUAAAGCGAGCGCAGGCGGUUUUUUAAGUCUGAUGUGAAAGCCUUCGGCUCAACCGAAGAAGUGCAUCGGAAACUGGGAAACUUGAGUGCAGAAGAGGACAGUGGAACUCCAUGUGUAGCGGUGAAAUGCGUAGAUAUAUGGAAGAACACCAGUGGCGAAGGCGGCUGUCUGGUCUGUAACUGACGCUGAGGCUCGAAAGUAUGGGUAGCAAACAGGAUUAGAUACCCUGGUAGUCCAUACCGUAAACGAUGAAUGCUAAGUGUUGGAGGGUUUCCGCCCUUCAGUGCUGCAGCUAACGCAUUAAGCAUUCCGCCUGGGGAGUACGGCCGCAAGGCUGAAACUCAAAGGAAUUGACGGGGGCCCGCACAAGCGGUGGAGCAUGUGGUUUAAUUCGAAGCUACGCGAAGAACCUUACCAGGUCUUGACAUACUAUGCAAAUCUAAGAGAUUAGACGUUCCCUUCGGGGACAUGGAUACAGGUGGUGCAUGGUUGUCGUCAGCUCGUGUCGUGAGAUGUUGGGUUAAGUCCCGCAACGAGCGCAACCCUUAUUAUCAGUUGCCAGCAUUAAGUUGGGCACUCUGGUGAGACUGCCGGUGACAAACCGGAGGAAGGUGGGGAUGACGUCAAAUCAUCAUGCCCCUUAUGACCUGGGCUACACACGUGCUACAAUGGAUGGUACAACGAGUUGCGAACUCGCGAGAGUAAGCUAAUCUCUUAAAGCCAUUCUCAGUUCGGAUUGUAGGCUGCAACUCGCCUACAUGAAGUCGGAAUCGCUAGUAAUCGCGGAUCAGCAUGCCGCGGUGAAUACGUUCCCGGGCCUUGUACACACCGCCCGUCACACCAUGAGAGUUUGUAACACCCAAAGUCGGUGGGGUAACCUUUUAGGAACCAGCCGCCUAAGGUGGGACAGAUGAUUAG